rnacentral:tRNA from 2 species
CGCGGGGUGGAGCAGUUCGGUAGCUCGUCAGGCUCAUAACCUGAAGGUCGUAGGUUCAAAUCCUACCCCCGCAACCA